AAGCAAAGCCAAGAGUUGAAGAUACAAUCUUUGCACGAUCAGCUUGACCAUAUUUCAUCCUUUUUGCAGAGAUUUGCUCCUCCGGUACAUAACUAAAUCUAUUUGAAUAUUUUAUGUAAUUAUAAUGUAUUCUUGUAUGAGCGUGAUAACUUUCGUAUUUUUAGUUUCUAAAAUAUUUUUUUUUCUUGUAGGUUGAUGAUACUUCAUCUACUCGUAGAGAUGAUGAUGCCG
rnacentral:lncRNA from 1 species